rnacentral:rRNA from 1 species
AGAGUUUGAUCCUGGCUCAGAGUGAACGCUGGCGGUAUGCUUAACACAUGCAAGUCGAACGAGAACGGGUCUAACUUGCUAGAUUGUCAGCUAAGUGGCGAACUGGUGAGUAGAACAUUGGAAUAUGCCUCUAAGUUUGGAAUAACUAUUGGAAACGAUAGCUAAUACUGAAUAUACCUACGGGUGAAAGAUUUAUUGCUUAGAGAUUAGCCAAUGACCUAUCAGGUAGUUGGUGGGGUAAAGGCCCACCAAGCCUAUGACGGGUAGCUGGUUUGAGAGGAUGAUCAGCCACACAGGAACUGAGACACGGUCCAGACUCCUACGGGAGGCAGCAGUGGGGAAUAUUGCACAAUGGGGGAAACCCUGAUGCAGUAAUACCGCGUGGAGGAUGAAGCAUUUAGGUGUGUAAACUCCUUUUAUAUAGGAAGAUAAUGACGGUACUAUAUGAAUAAGCACCGGCUAACUCCGUGCCAGCAGCCGCGGUAAUACGGGGGGUGCAAGCGUUACUCGGAAUCACUGGGCGUAAAGGGUAUGUGGGCGGUUUAAUAAGUCAGAUGUGAAAGCCAAUAGCUUAACUAUAGAACAGCAUUAGAAACUGUUAGACUAGAAUCCAGAAGGGGCAGGUGGAAUUAGUGGUGUAGGGGUAAAAUCC